rnacentral:tRNA from 1 species
UCCUCCUUAGCUCAGUUGGUUAGAGCAUCUGACUGUUAAUCAGAGGGUCCGAGGUUCAAGUCCUCGAGGGGGAG